AGGCGGGGCAGGGCGGGACGGGAUGGUAUGGCAUGGCACGACACGACCCCUCUGGGGCUUGUCCUCGGUGCUUUCAUUCCUGACCGCUAAGGCCGGCAGAGAAUAGCUCUUAGCACGCAGAAGGCGCUUGUGAAUAGAACUUCUUUCACCGUGGGUUGUCUUAAGCUUUAGUCUCGCGGCUUUUAUCCUGGAAAGCAAAGGUCUUCCGAGUACUCAACGCAAGACACAGUAUUUUUAAGAUUUCGAGUUCUCCAUUAUAGUUAAGAAGUGAAAUGUAUAAAUCUGGAAAUUAAAUCCCGGCUGCUGUGUUGCCACAUAGUGGCAACAGUUGCCGAAUUGAAUGUGAUAUUUAAAAGUAGCACUUUAUAAAAUGCAACAUGUAUUUUUCAGUGUAACAGUUACUUUAGAUUUAUUAGUUUUUUUUUAUUCAAUAAAUACUUGUUAA